rnacentral:lncRNA from 1 species
CUUGUUAAAGUGCAGCUGACAGAUAGGUAGGAUAGUUUUUCCAUGUUUUUCUCCUUACAAGAGGGAUGGAGUUUUUUCAUAAGGCAAGGGAGUCUUUAACUACUUUUUGCUUUAUUUAAUGUAGCUCAUUAGCAUUAUUCCUUCAGAUGUUUUCAGUAAUUGAAAAUUCAAGCUCAGACAGCCCUCCUUCUUGUAAGGCUCCCUUCUCUGGAUCUGCUAUGUCCUUGCUAGAUUUCAGACCUGCCUACCAUGAUUUGCAGACGGUUUUUCUCUGCUGGAAGAAUUGCAAAGCAUCUGUUUUGGUUUCCCUGGUUUGCGACUGAAACGAAUACCUGUACAAACCAAUGCCUGUCUACCCAUGUUGUCAAACUGAACGUUUCCAUGAAGAGGAGCACUUCUCCAAAGCUGUCGCCCAGCCUCGGGGGGAAGGAAGGCGACUUUCAGGCAUGUCACCUAGGGACCCUCCAGAGCUGGGUGGCCACAGCAUGUUACAGAUCACAGUGCGGCGCGGCCAAGAUGCGAGGGGGAGCGAGGAGGGGACUGACUCGUGCUGUUAAUUGCACGGGGACUGCUAUCUCCACAUCUCAAAGGCAGAUUCGACGGCCCCAAAAUCGAGACAUUGGAUGGUAAAGGAAACAAAUCCUUCAUGUGUUGUUUGAGCCCAGCAGGGAAAUAGAAACGCUUUCCAAAAAGAGAGAAAAUAAAGGAAAACACAAAGAAAAAAGGAACUAAUCC